rnacentral:tRNA from 1 species
UUAAAUUGAAUUAAAUAGGAUAUUAAUAUUUAAUUUGCAAUUAAAUAAAAUUGUUUAAUCAAUAUAUCUUAAA